CCGAGUUAGGGUGGCUCUGCCGCCCGACCUCCCAACCCUUUGUUUAAACCGACCACCGUUGCUUCGGCGAGCCGCGUCCCCCCGGGGCCGCGCCGGGGGCCUCACCGCCCCUGGAGAGCGCUCGUCGAUAGCCAAAUCUUAAACUCUUUACAAAAUACCUACCUAAAUCUUGUAUAUCUUAAAUGAUAAAACA
rnacentral:misc_RNA from 1 species